rnacentral:rRNA from 1 species
ACGGGUGAGUAACACGUGGAUAACCUACCUAUAAGACUGGGAUAACUUCGGGAAACCGGAGCUAAUACCGGAUAAUAUUUUGAACCGCAUGGUUCAAAAGUGAAAGACGGUCUUGCUGUCACUUAUAGAUGGAUCCGCGCUGCAUUAGCUAGUUGGUAAGGUAACGGCUUACCAAGGCAACGAUGCAUAGCCGACCUGAGAGGGUGAUCGGCCACACUGGAACUGAGACACGGUCCAGACUCCUACGGGAGGCAGCAGUAGGGAAUCUUCCGCAAUGGGCGAAAGCCUGACGGAGCAACGCCGCGUGAGUGAUGAAGGUCUUCGGAUCGUAAAACUCUGUUAUUAGGGAAGAACAUAUGUGUAAGUAACUGUGCACAUCUUGACGGUACCUAAUCAGAAAGCCACGGCUAACUACGUGCCAGCAGCCGCGGUAAUACGUAGGUGGCAAGCGUUAUCCGGAAUUAUUGGGCGUAAAGCGCGCGUAGGCGGUUUUUUAAGUCUGAUGUGAAAGCCCACGGCUCAACCGUGGAGGGUCAUUGGAAACUGGAAAACUUGAGUGCAGAAGAGGAAAGUGGAAUUCCAUGUGUAGCGGUGAAAUGCGCAGAGAUAUGGAGGAACACCAGUGGCGAAGGCGACUUUCUGGUCUGUAACUGACGCUGAUGUGCGAAAGCGUGGGGAUCAAACAGGAUUAGAUACCCUGGUAGUCCACGCCGUAAACGAUGAGUGCUAAGUGUUAGGGGGUUUCCGCCCCUUAGUGCUGCAGCUAACGCAUUAAGCACUCCGCCUGGGGAGUACGACCGCAAGGUUGAAACUCAAAGGAAUUGACGGGGACCCGCACAAGCGGUGGAGCAUGUGGUUUAAUUCGAAGCAACGCGAAGAACCUUACCAAAUCUUGACAUCCUUUGACAACUCUAGAGAUAGAGCUUUCCCCUUCGGGGGACAAAGUGACAGGUGGUGCAUGGUUGUCGUCAGCUCGUGUCGUGAGAUGUUGGGUUAAGUCCCGCAACGAGCGCAACCCUUAAGCUUAGUUGCCAUCAUUAAGUUGGGCACUCUAAGUUGACUGCCGGUGACAAACCGGAGGAAGGUGGGGAUGACGUCAAAUCAUCAUGCCCCUUAUGAUUUGGGCUACACACGUGCUACAAUGGACA